AGCGAACGUUUGCGGCGGGCUUAACACAUGCAAGUCGAACGGGCUGUUCCUUCGGGGGCAGUCAGUGGCGCACGGGUGCGUAACACGUAGGUAAUCAACCCUCUGGUUGGGGAUAACACUUCGAAAGGAGUGCUAAUACCCGGUAUGGCGCAGCGGUCUUCGGAUCGCGGCGAGAAAGACCCGCAAGGGUUGCCAGAGGACGAGCCUGCGGCCCAUCAGCUAGUUGGCGAGGUAACGGCUCACCAAGGCGAAGACGGGUAGCUGGUCUGAGAGGAUGAUCAGCCACACUGGAACUGAGACACGGUCCAGACUCCUACGGGAGGCAGCAGUGGGGAAUAUUGCGCAAUGGGCGAAAGCCUGACGCAGCCACGCCGCGUGAGCGAUGAAGG
rnacentral:rRNA from 1 species